rnacentral:rRNA from 1 species
AACCUCCGCAAUGUGAGAAAUCGCGACGGGGGGAUCCCAAGUGCCAUUCUUAACGGGAUGGCUUUUCAUUAGUGUAAAGAGCUUUUGGAAUAAGGGCUGGGCAAGACCGGUGCCAGCCGCCGCGGUAACACCGGCAGCUCUAGUGGUAGCAGUUUUUAUUGGGCCUAAAGCGUCCGUAGCCGGUUUAAUAAGUCUCUGGUGAAAUCCUGUAGCUUAACUGUGGGAAUUGCUGGAGAUACUAUUAGACUUGAGACCGGGAGAGGUUAGAGGUACUCCCAGGGUAGAGGUGAAAUUCUGUAAUCCUGGGAGGACCGCCUGUUGCGAAGGCGUCUAACUGGAACGGUUCUGACGGUGAGGGACGAAAGUUAGGGGCGCGAACCGGAUUAGAUACCCGGGUAGUCCUAACUGUAAACGAUGCGGACUUGGUGUUGGGGUGGCUUUGAGCUGCUCCAGUGCCGAAGGGAAGCUGUUAAGUCCGCCGCCUGGGAAGUACGGUCGCAAGACUGAAACUUAAAGGAAGU